rnacentral:rRNA from 1 species
GAUGAACGCUGGCGGCGUGCUUAACACAUGCAAGUCGAACGGGAAGUGGUGUUUCCAGUGGCGAACGGGUGAGUAACGCGUAAGAACCUGCCCUUGGGAGGGGAACAACAACUGGAAACGGUUGCUAAUACCCCGUAGGCGGAGGAGCAAAAGGAGAAAUCCGCCCAAGGAGGGGCUCGCGUCUGAUUAGCUAGUUGGUGAGGUAAUAGCUUACCAAGGCGAUGAUCAGUAGCUGGUCCGAGAGGAUGAUCCGCCACACUGGGACUGAGACACGGCCCAGACUCCUGCGGGAAGCAGCAGUGGGGAAUUUUCCGCAAUGGGCGAAAGCCUGACGGAGCAAUGCCGCGUGGAGGUGGAAGGCCUACGGGUCGUCAACUUCUUUUCUCGGAGAAGAAACAAUGACGGUAUCUGAGGAAUAAGCAUCGGCUAACUCUGUG